UACGUAGGGGGCAAGCGUUGUCCGGAAUUAUUGGGCGUAAAGAGCGUGUAGGCGGUCCGGUAAGUCAGCUGUGAAAGUCAAGGGCUCAACCCUUGAAAGCCGGUUGAUACUGUCGGGCUAGAGUCCGGAAGAGGCGAGUGGAAUUCCCGGUGUAGCGGUGAAAUGCGCAGAUAUCAGGAGGAACACCAAUUGCGAAGGCAGCUCGCUGGGACGUGACUGACGCUGAGACGCGAAAGCGUGGGGAGCAAACAGG
rnacentral:rRNA from 1 species